AAUUUUAAGAAUUCUGGCCCUCAACAAGCCCGAUCCUGUCUGAUCUCAGAAGCUAAGCAGGCUUGGGCCUGGUUAGUACUUGGAUGGGAGACCACCUAGGAAGACCAGGUGCUGUAGGUG
rnacentral:rRNA from 1 species